AUGAACCAAUGCGGCCAAUAUUUAAGGCAGGCAGAGGCCCUGAAGGCUGACAUGACAGGUAUGUUUCACACCUCACCUUUGUGGUUCCUUCUUUGUUUUAACCCACAACCCCUUAUUACUAGACACUAUGCAUUGUGGACGAUAUUGUUUUUGCUGAUAUUAUGGUCUCUUAUUAAUUUUGAUCUUGAAAGAUUUUCCUUUUCUUUAAUGUUUUGGAAGUUGAUAAUCCCCAGACCUGGGACAGACACUGCAUAUUCCUUUAUCAUAUAAAAAAAGAUGUGUCCGUAUAUAUAUUUUACCAGGUAAGUUGACUGAGAACAUUCUCAUUUACAGCAAUGACCCAGGGAAUAGUUAAAGGGGAUGAAUGAGCCAAUUGGACCUGGGGAUGAUUAGGUGGCCAUGUUGGUUUGAGGGCCAGAUUGGGAAUUUAGCCAGGACACGGGUUAACACUCCUACUCUUACGAUAAGUGCCAUGUGAUCUUUAAUGACCACAGAGUCAGGACACCUGUUUAAUGUCCCAUCCGAAAGACUGCACCAUACACAGGGCAAUGUCCCCAAUUACUGCCCUGGGGCAUUGUUAUAUUUUAUUUUAAAUCAGAGGAGAGUGCCUCCUCCAUCACCACUUCCAGCCUUAUCUUUUCCUAGACCAUGUUGCUUUGUGCAUAAUAGAUAAGUUAACCAGUAUAUUGGUGUUGAGAUCAAUGCUGUAGAGGCAGCAGUGGACUUAGGAGAUGAGAAAAAAGCCCUUGCCUUAUUUGUCUAAGAAAAGUGAGGAGCUGGGAAACACUAACUUAUUUAGGUCUAUAAUCAAUAGCCUAACUGUUAAAUGUGCCUGGCUUUCAUAAGUCAUCCAUAUAUAUCUUCAUAAAUAAGACAGAUCAUGCUUCUGUUGUCUUUUAAGAGUUGCUUUUUUAGUAGCCUACUUAUUCCGUGAGAACCAAGCCUCACGCAACUACAGGUGGGAUAAACAAUUUCAUAAAUUUGCCUGUUUUUAGUCUUUGCUAUGCUGUAUUAUUUAGUGUUUACACCAAACCCUCCUUUUUCUUGAUACCCUCAUUGUUUAUAAUAAUAAACAAGUAAUGUCAUUAUCAUUAAUAGGCUUAGUGUAGCAGCCUUGUAUAACCACCAUCAAGGUUAUAGGCUAUAGGCCUAAGAGCGCGGCCUGUUUAGUCUUAAUACCGUAACUUACUUAGGCCUAUAUCUUCAUAGUUAUGUAGGUUACUGUAUCAAUCAUUUGUUCAUGUCAUCACACAUCAUAUGAGUCAUUCAUGAUUUGAAAUGCAACUAAGCAUUUUAGUUUUAAAAUAAAAUGACAAAGCGACACUUGAAUAAUUAGCAUAAACAAUAAAUAAACCGUUUCAUUUUGGAAAUUGUAUUCACAAAUGCAUGUGACUGCUUUUAGUCUUUGUUGUAAUAAAGGCUUAAAAAAUGUCUCUGGUAGGAUUCUAAUUUAUUUUGUUUACGUUGUUCCAAACGGACAAAAAUGAUAUUGUAGUCUAACAGCACCGGUUUGGCACACAUAAUAUGCAUGCAGCGUUUGCUCCUUACCUUUCUUGAUCUCCAGUAUUUUCCACAAUUUGUCAAAUUUAUGCCACACAUCAGACUUCGCCUUUACCUCCUAAGCAACCAGUAAACGUUCCCCCGUUUUGAGUUUAUUUGUUACGUCCUCUGCAUACAUUUUGCUUUCAUGUGUGUUCGGAGUUUGUUAUAACCUAUUUAUUGAUGUGAUUAUGAUAUGCUAUAGGUCAGGCCCUAUUGGUGACAUGCAUGCGAUGUGUCAUGUAAAGAGUGCAAGGGUUGAGGGAAUAGGGAAUGUCAUUCCUUAACAAAUUAGGGAUUUCGGUAACAGAUGGCUUUAAUUAUGUUCCAUCAUUAGCAACACGGACAGUGCAAUAAAAACUGAUGUUCUGUGAUGUCACUGCAGCAGGGAGGAGAGAGUGAGAACGGGUGCUAGACACAGUCACUCGUUGCAAUUUUUUUUUAGAAGGUGCAGUAAUACAGGCUCAAUCAAUCAAUCAAUCAAUUGGAACUCAUCUGAUGGCAUCGGCGUUUACCCCAGCCGUCACCGGUUUCAUUAAUAAGUGCAAGAAGUCAUCCCCACACUGACCGUACAUACAUAAGCCAACAUCCGCACUGAGCUAAAGGCUACAGCUGCCACUUUCAAGGAUCGUGCCACUAACCCGGACAGGUAUAAGAAAUCCCGCUAUGUCCCCUCAAACAGGCAAAGCGUCAAUAUAGGACUAAGAUCGAAUCCUUCUACACCAACUCUGGCACUCGUCAAAUGUGGCAGGGCUUGCAAACUAUCAUGGGGAAAAAUCAUGGGAGCCGCUAGCUGCCCAGUGACGCGGCUCUGCCAGACGAGCUAAAUGCCUUCUAUGCAGGCUUCGAGGCAAGCAACACUACACCAUGCCUGAGCGCACCAGCUGUUACGGACGAGUGGGAUCACGCUCUUCGUAGCUGACGUGAGUAAGACCGUUUUUAAACAGGUUAACAUUCACAAGGCUGCAGGGCCAGAAGGAUUACCAGGACACAUACUUGGAGAAUGCGCUGACCAGCUGGCAAGUGUCUUCAUGGACAUUUUAAACCUCUUCCUGAUCCAGUCUGUAAUACCUGUUUCAAGCUGAUCACCUUACUGCCUGUGCCCAAGAAUGUUCAGGCAACCUGUCUAAUUGACUAUUGUCCCAUAGCACUCACCUUCUGAAACAUUCAGAAUAUUUUCAUUUAUAUAUUAACCUACCUAAAGGUUUCUGGCAAGGAACACAAGCAUGUUCACCUUUUCUGGCUUUAAUAGAGUGGGGUAACAAUAUUGCCUACUGUAGGCCUAUUGAAGACACGUUCACACGGAACACUUUUUGCACAGAUGCAGAGGUAUUUGACGGUAAAGUUGGCCAAGAGUGGAAUGCGACCCUCAUUCCCUCUCCACCAUGCCAGUGGGUCAUCGUCUCCUGAUUUACAUGUGUUUACAUAAAAUGUGAGCUCUGCUUUGGCAGGCUGUUGCCCACCGAGUGUGACUGUUUGCUUUGCUCUCCCAAGAAGACUGCAGUGAUGUCUUCUAUGGUGAACAUGCACACUCGAUCUCAGUUGAAAUUGUCCAAAAUCACCAUUGAAAGAGUCUCGUAUCACACUGUAGGCCUACAAUGUUUGGUUCCAAAUCACCAUACAAGGUUAUCGGUACCAGAUAUCACCAUAUGAUAGGUUUAUAUUUAUUUCCGCACAAGAAAAUACAAUGAUGUUAAGAUUUCCAUUGUACUCUAGUGAUUAGACUCUUUUCAGAUUGUUUACUGCAUUGGUAACACUCCAGCCCCGGAUGCAAAAAGGAAAUGUCUCUGGUAUUAAGUUUAAUUCAAUCAGAGAAAAGCGGUGAAAUUGGGAGUUGAAAAUGGAGAAGAGGGCCAGAAAAGUAAUGUUUGGUGAAGUGGUAAAAGAGGAUGAUAGCAGUGCCGGUUAUGUGUGAUGGUUGUGGGGCGCUAUACAAAUUCGACAGUCACAAAACAGGGACUUCAAAUAGAUAUAUGGCACGUCAAGAGAACUCUUGCCUACUGUUCAGAUGAUUAAUUGGAAACUGAAGGUUUAACUCCUGCAGAAUUAAGCAUUUAUUUCAGUUACGUUAUAAAUCAUACUGUAUGUAGGCACAAUUUUGACUUGUGUAGAAAAUGGUUACUUUCAGCAUCUUGAGAGAAUGCAAAUGCAAUUAGAUACUGUCUUUAUCAGCAUCAAAAGCUGCCUUUUGCAAUCAGAUGAAAUAUGCAUCCAAGCCAAACUGAAAUCUUAUCAGAAACAUGUCUCAUUUUCACUGCUUUCUAUUUCCUUACAAAGGGUCAAACAAAUUUUGCACAGAAUUGUAAUUUUUUGUUAUUGCAUUUUGUCCCCGGUCCCUAAAUGUCUUUGCUCCGCGAAGAAGCAGAGGUGAUGGAGAGAACUUUACAGCUGUUAACUGCAUUAAUUCUAUUGAUUUGAGUUUCUAGUUAGCAAGGGUUUAUUUAGUUUUCGAAAUCUUGAGCAACAUAUGACCGAAGAGAAGCUGCAUGUAUCUAAUUAUAGACAAGUUGACUAACAGCUUACCAAAAUGUCAGAAAUUAUAAGCAGAAAUAUACUGUAUCUAAAUGAGGAAAAAAUAAAACUGCACCUAUGGUCAAAAUCGUUUUGCUGUUUCUGACUGUAGCCUACAGCGUAUUUUCUACAUUAGCAGGUUAGGCUCUAGUGCAGGCCUCAGGUACAGGAUGGCACCAGGAACGCACAAUCCCUCCAUCAGUGCUCACUGUCCACAAUAGGCUGGACUGAGGGCUUGUUGUAAGGCAGGUCCUCACCAGACAUCACCAUCAGCAACAUCGCCUAUGGGCACAAACCCACCGUUGUUGGACCAGACAGGACUGGCAAAAAGUGCUCUUCACUGACGAGUCGCGGUUUUGUCUCACCGGGGUGAUGGUCGGAUUUGCGUUUAUUGUCAAAGGAAUGAGUGUUACACCGAGGCCUGUACUCUGGAGCGGG
rnacentral:lncRNA from 1 species